CAGCUUCAUUAUUAGAUCUAGAUAUAUUUCCAACAUGGUAUUGGUAUUUCAUAAAAUAAUGAGAGCAAAGAUCAAUUAUCAAGAAUAAAGAAUAGGAACAUAACACAUAUAAUUCAUCACAACAGGCUACCAUAAUCUGCAGAUAGGAAUCCGGAAUCAGUGAACAAAGACAUGGGUUCCAUUUUACGACACAAUCCUAAGGUCAAUUUGAGCAGUGGUGAAUGAAUUGAGGGGAAAUGGUAAAGCAAAAGCACUAGAACUGCUCAUCUCAUUCCAGUAGUGAUAUUAUUCCUAAUAUAUUGCAGUCAGAAAUAAUCUACAAAUUACAUUCAUGGUCUUUCUUAUAUUAGUUAAGGCUUUCUUAUAUUAGUUAAGGUCCUCCUUUUUGAAUUUCAUCCAACUAAUUUUGCAUCUG
rnacentral:lncRNA from 1 species